rnacentral:rRNA from 1 species
AACGAACGCUGGCGGUAUGCUUAACACAUGCAAGUUAAACGGGUUCAUUUAGGGCUUGCUCUAGAUGAAUACAGUAGCAAACGGGUGAGUAAUACGUAGGAAUCUGCCCAUCAGUACGGAAUAACAUUCAUACCGAAUGCUAAUACCGUAUAUUCUCCGAGGAGGAAAGAUUUAUCGCUGAUGGAUGAGCCUACGUCAGAUUAGGUAGUU